AUUGAACGCUGGCGGCAUGCUUUACACAUGCAAGUCGAACGGCAGCGCGGGCUUCGUCCUUGCGUCGUGUUGCGAACGGGUGAGUAAUACAUCGGAACGUGCCCAGUCUUUGGGGAUAGCUUGACUUAAGCCGGAUUGAUCUCGCAUCGGAUCUUAUUUUGAAAGCGGUGGAUCUUCAGUGCUCGCGCUUUUUGAGGUGCCUUCGGCAUAUUAGCUAGUUGGUUUGGUAACGGCGUACCAAGGCGACGAUCCGUAGCUGGCCUGAGAGGACGACCAGCCACACUGGAACUGAGACACGGCCCAGACUCCUACGGGAGGCAGCAGUAGGGAAUUUUCGACAAUGGGCGAAAGCCUGAUGGAGCAAUGCCGCGUGUGUGAUGAAGGCCUUCGGGUUGUAAAGCACUUUUAGCGGGAAAGAAAAGAAGUGUGAGAAUACCACGGUUCGAUGACGGUACCCGAAGAAUAAGCACCGGCUAACUACGUG
rnacentral:rRNA from 1 species